CCUACGGGUGGCUGCAGUGGGGAAUAUUGCACAAUGGGCGCAAGCCUGAUGCAGCCAUGCCGCGUGUGUGAAGAAGGCCUUCGGGUUGUAAAGCACUUUCAGCGGGGAGGAAGGCGGUGAGGUUAAUAACCUCAUCGAUUGACGUUACCCGCAGAAGAAGCACCGGCUAACUCCGUGCCAGCAGCCGCGGUAAUGCGGAGGGUGCAAGCGUUAAUCGGAAUUACUGGGCGUAAAGCGCACGCAGGCGGUCUGUCAAGUCGGAUGUGAAAUCCCCGGGCUCAACCUGGGAACUGCAUUCGAAACUGGCAGGCUAGAGUCUUGUAGAGGGGGGUAGAAUUCCAGGUGUAGCGGUGAAAUGCGUAGAGAUCUGGAGGAAUACCGGUGGCGAAGGCGGCCCCCUGGACAAAGACUGACGCUCAGGUGCGAAAGCGUGGGGAGCAAACAGGAUUAGAUACCCGAGUAGUC
rnacentral:rRNA from 1 species